UUUGGGAAACUAACCAAGGAGAG
rnacentral:piRNA from 1 species